rnacentral:rRNA from 1 species
AUGUCUCCACCACCAUAUUCAAGGUACGGUCCGCACUCACCACCACCCCCUACGCCGCCGCCGCCGCCGCCAUCGCCGAAUCCCCCUUACCAGUCACCACCACCUCCUACACCGUACCCCACUUAUCUGCCACCACCACCUCCUACGCCGCCACCACCGUCGCCGUAUCCCCCUUAUCUGCCACCACCACCUCCUACGCCGCCACCACCGUCGCCGUAUCCCCCUUAUCUGCCACCACCACCUUCUUACCCACCAUCGACUGGUCCCGCUCUGCCGCCAACCCCAUAUCCCGAUGCCCCAACACCUUAUUAUGGUCCACUUCCGCCACGGACGUCGUCUCCCGGCCCGGAUGUCCCAGCCCCGCCGCCGACGCCGUACACCGGCGUCCCAUAUGUUCCAACGCCUGAUUAUUAUGAUCCUUCCGGCUCCAACACUGUCUAUACGCCGUCGCCACCAACGGCGGGGGGUAGUGGACAAAUCCUCGUGAUAGUGCUGGUCCCCAUCGCCGGGCUGGUCCUCCUUGGGCUGCUGGCGGGUCUCUUCCUGCUCGCGCGGCGGAGGCGGAUGAGGAGGGAGGAACCGGCCGGGUGCCCGGUGGAGGAGGAGGAGGUUCCUGACUCCUGA